AACUCCAUGUCUGAUUAAAGUAAUAAAUUGUAAAUUUAUUUAAGAGGGUAGAAUGUCUUCUGGUGUUA
rnacentral:tRNA from 1 species